GAUGAACGCUGGCGGCGUGCCUAACACAUGCAAGUCGAGCGAACGGACGAGACGCUUGCUUCUCUGACGUUAGCGGCGGACGGGUGAGUAACACGUGGAUAACCUAUCUAUAAGACUGGGAUAACUUCGGGAAACCGGAGCUCAUACCGGAUAAUAUUUUGAACCGCAUGGUUCAAAAGUGAAAGACGGUCUUGCUGUCACUUAUAGAUGCAUCCGCGCUGCAUUAGCUAGUUGGUAAGGUAACGGCUUACCAAGGCGACGAUGCAUAGCCGACCUGAGAGGGUGAGCGCCCACACUGGAACUGAGACAGGGUCCAGACUCCUACGGGAGGCAGCAGUCGGGAAUCGGGCGCAAGGGGCGAAAGCCUGACGCAGCAACGCCGCGUGUGUGAUGAAGGUCUUCGGAUCGUAAAACUCUGUUAUGAGGGAAGAACAUAUGUCUAAGUAACUGUGCACAUCUUGACGGUACCUAGUCAGAAAGCCCCGGCUAACUACGUG
rnacentral:rRNA from 1 species